ACUUGUUCUUUAAAUGGGGACUAGUAUGAAUGGCAUCACGAGGGUUAUACUGUCUCCUUUUUCUAAUCAGUGAAUCUAAUCUCCCCGUGAAGAAACGGGGAUACACCUACAAGACGAGAAGACCCUAUGGAGCUUUAAAUACCUCUUCAAACGUUGGACCUCCUCCCCAGUUUUAAACUCACCUAUAUUAACCCCGUACGCUAUGAAGACAACUUUAGGUUGGGGUGACCGCGGAGUACAACAUAACCUCCACGCUGAAUCAGACUCUUUAAGUCUGAACCAAGAGCCACUGCUCAAAGCACUAAGAAAUUAACAUCUAUUGACCCAAAACAUUUGAUCAACGAACCAAGUUACCCUAGGGAUAACAGCGCAAUCCAUUUCAAGAGUCCAUAUCGACAAAUGG
rnacentral:rRNA from 1 species